CGGUGAUGAGGGGCUUGCUCCUCUGAUCAGUGGCGAACGGGUGAGAAACACGUGAGUAACCUGCCCUUCACUCUGGGAUAACGCUGGGAAACUGGUGCUAAUACUGGAUAUGACCUGCUCGGGCAUCCGAUGUGGGUGGAAAGAUUUAUUGGUGGGGGAUGGACUCGCGGCCUAUCAGCUUGUUGGUGAGGUAAUGGCUCACCAAGGCGACGACGGGUAGCCGGCCUGAGAGGGCGAUCGGCCACACUGGGACUGAGACACGGCCCAGACUCCUACGGGAGGCAGCAGUGGGGAAUAUUGCACAAUGGGCGAAAGCCUGAUGCAGCGACGCCGCGUGAGGGAUGAAGGCCUUCGGGUUGUAAACCUCUUUCAGCAGGGAAGAAGCGUCUGGGUUUUCCCGGGUGUGACGGUACCUGCAGAAGAAGCACCGGCUAACUACGUGCCAGCAGCCGCGGUAAUACGUAGGGUGCAAGCGUUGUCCGGAAUUAUUGGGCGUAAAGAGCUUGUAGGCGGUUUGUCGCGUCUGCUGUGAAAUUUCGGGGCUCAACCCCGAACUUGCAGUGGGUACGGGCAGACUAGAGUGUGGUAGGGGAGACUGGAAUUCCUGGUGUAGCGGUGAAAUGCGCAGAUAUCAGGAGGAACACCGAUGGCGAAGGCAGGUCUCUGGGCCACUACUGACGCUGAGAAGCGAAAGCAUGGGGAGCGAACAGGAUUAGAUACCCUGGUAGUCCAUGCCGUAAACGUUGGGAACUAGGUGUGGGCCUCAUUCCACGAGGUCCGUGCCGCAGCUAACGC
rnacentral:rRNA from 1 species